AGAGAGAAAGAGAGAGAGACAGACAGAGAGAGAAAUAGAGACAGACAAAGACAGAGAGAGAGAGAGAGAGAGUGGUGUGUAGAAUAUGGGUGGUGUGUAGUAGUGGUGGUGUGUAGUAGUGGUGGUGUGUAGAGUAGUGGUGGUGUGUAGUAGUGGUGGUGUGUAGAGUAGUGGUGGUGUGUAGUGGUGUAGUGGUGGUGUGUAGAGUAGUGGUGGUGUGUAGAGAGUAGUGGUGGUGUGUAGAGUAGUGGUGGUGUGUAGUAGUGGUGGUGUGUGUAGUAGUGGUGGUGUGUAGAGUAGUGGUGGUGUGUAGAAGUAGUGGUGGUGUGUGUAGUGGUGGUGUGUAGUAGUGGUGGUGUGUAGAGUAGUGGUGGUGUGUAGAGUAGUGGUGGUGUGUAGAGUAGUGUGUGUGGUGUGUAGAGUAGUGGUGGUGUGUAGAGUAGUGGUGGUGGUGUGUAGAGUAGUGGUGGUGUGUGUAGUAGUGGUGGUGUGUAG
ensembl:lncRNA